GAUGAACGCUAGCUACAGGCUUAACACAUGCAAGUCGAGGGGAAACGACAUCGAAAGCUUGCUUUUGAUGGGCGUCGACCGGCGCACGGGUGAGUAACGCGUAUCCAACCUGCCCAUCACUUGGGAAUAACCUUGCGAAAGUAAGACUAAUACCCAAUGAUAUCCCACGAAGGCAUCGGAAUGGGAUUAAAGAUUUAUCGGUGAUGGAUGGGGAUGCGUCUGAUUAGCUUGUUGGCGGGGUAACGGCCCACCAAGGCAACGAUCAGUAGGGGUUCUGAGAGGAAGGUCCCCCACAUUGGAACUGAGACACGGUCCAAACUCCUACGGGAGGCAGCAGUGAGGAAUAUCGGUCAAUGGGCGAGAGCCUGAACCAGCCAAGUAGCGUGCAGGAAGACGGCCCUAUGGGUUGUAAACUGCUUUUAUAAGGGAAUAAAGUGGGUCACGUGUGACUUUUUGCAUGUACCUUAUGAAUAAGGACCGGCUAAUUCCGUG
rnacentral:rRNA from 1 species